rnacentral:rRNA from 1 species
AGUGAACGCUGGCGGUAGGCCUAACACAUGCAAGUCGAACGGCAGCACAGUAAGAGCUUGCUCUUACGGUUGGCGAGUGGCGGACGGGUGAGGAAUACAUCGGAAUCUACUUUUUCGUGGGGGAUAACGUAGGGAAACUUACGCUAAUACCGCAUACGACCUACGGGUGAAAGCAGGGGAUCUUCGGACCUUGCGCGAUUGAAUGAGCCGAUGUCGGAUUAGCUAGUUGGCGGGGUAAAGGCCCACCAAGGCGACGAUCCGUAGCUGGUCUGAGAGGAUGAUCAGCCACACUGGAACUGAGACACGGUCCAGACUCCUACGGGAGGCAGCAGUGGGGAAUAUUGGACAAAGGGCGCAAGCCUGAUCCAGCCAUACCGCGUGGGUGAAGAAGGCCUUCGGGUUGUAAAGCCCUUUUGUUGGGAAAGAAAAGCAGCAGGUGAAUACCCCGCUGUUCUGACGGUACCCAAAGAAUAAGCACCGGCUAACUUCGUG